rnacentral:rRNA from 1 species
AACGCGAAGAACCUUACCUGGGCUCGAACGGCCGGUCAACGAUCGUGGAAACACGGUUACUCCGCAAGGGGGUCCGGUCGAGGUGCUGCAUGGCUGUCGUCAGCUCGUGUCGUGAGAUGUUGGGUUAAGUCCCGCAACGAGCGCAACCCUUGUCCUGUGUUGCAACCCCGCAAGGGGGCACUCGCAGGAGACCGCCAGCGAUAAGCUGGAGGAAGGUGGGGAUGACGUCAAGUCCUCAUGGCCUUUAUGUCCAGGGCUACACACGUGCUACAAUGGCCGGUACAAAGCGUUCCCAAACCGCGAGGUGGAGGCAAUCGCAAAAAACCGGUCUCAGUUCGGAUUGCAGGCUGCAACUCGCCUGCAUGAAGCUGGAAUCGCUAGUAAUGGCAGAUCAGCAUGCUGCCGUGAAUACGUUCCCGGGCCUUGUACACACCGCUCGCGA